rnacentral:misc_RNA from 1 species
GUGAUUGCAGAUUUCCGUGAUCAUCAGAAUCUUUAGAACGCACAUUGCGCCCGCCAGGUAUUCUGGAGGGCAUGCCUGUUCGAGCGUCAUUUCAACCCUCAAGCCCCCGGGCUUAGUGUUGGGGCUCGGCCCGUCCCUCGUGGCGCGCCGUCCCCGAAAUCCAGUGGCGGUCACGCUGUACUCCUCUGCGUAGUAAUCCAACCUCGCAACGGGACAAAGCCUGGCCACGCCGUUAAAGCCCCCACUUCUGAAGGUUGACCUCGGAUCAGGUGAGAAUACCCUUGCGUCUUAACGCUCUUCCACUUUGUCGCUCCAUGACUCGCUGCGC